UAUUGAGGUAGUGUUGUAUCAGUGGUGUCUUGUAUUGAGGUGGUGUUGUAUUGUUGGUGUUUUGUAUUGAGUGUGGUGUUGUAUCAGUGGUGUUUUGAAUUGAGGUAGUGUUGUAUCAGUGGUGUCUUGUAUUGAGGUGGUGUUGUAUUGUUGGUGUUUUGUAUUGAGUUGGUGUUGUAUCAGUGGUGUUUUGAAUUGAGAUAGUGUUGUAUCAGUGGUGUCUUGUAUUGAGGUAGUGUUGUAUCAGUGGUGUCUUGUAUUGAGGUGGUGUUGUAUCAGUGGUGUUUU
ensembl:lncRNA